AUGGGUUUACGUGAUAUUGAGGUUUUUAAUUUGGCUUUGCUUGCUAGAUAAGCUUGGAUGAUCUUGCAAGAACCAAACUUUUUGAGUGCCCGUGUUCUAAAAUCAAGGUACUUCCUAGACGGAGAGUUCUUCGAUGCACCACUUGGCUCAAACCCAUCCCAGGGAUUGAUCAAAUGGAUAGGAACGGGGAAGGACACUCAAAUUUGGCAUCACAACUGGAUGCCGAGGGACUACAAGCUUCGUCCUAUCUGUCCUCGAUCAGCAAAUCCACCCUCGUUGAUGUCUGAGGUGAUUGAUCAGACAACCAGGACCUGGAAUAGGCAAGUGUUAGAGGAACACUUCAUUGCACUGGAUAUAGAUGUUAUUCUGAAUAUCCCUCUCAGUACGCAAUUGCAUGAUGAUUUCUGGGCGUGGCACUAUGACCAAAGGGGCAUGUUUUCUGUUUGUUCUACUUACAAAAUGAUCUCGGGGAUUAAAUUUCAGUGGGAUGACUAGUUGGAAAAUCGAACAAGCAACUCAAAUCAAACAGCGACGAAGAAAGAUUGGUCCAGGUUGUGGAAAAUAGAUGUGCCAUCCAAGGUUAGGGUUUUUGUGUGGCGUUUGGCUCACACGUCUUUGCCGACGGGCAUGACAAGACACGAGUGAAAGAUGGCUACAUCUCCAGUAUGCGUGAUAUGCUCGGUGAUAGACGAUACGUGGCGUCAUUCUCUUCUGAAUUGCCGUAUGGCUCGGUGUGUCUGGUCGCUGGGAGAUGAAGGAAUUCUGGAGCAUGUGAUAUCAAAUGAAUCUGAAGAUGCAAGACAAUUGAUUUUUUGGCUGUUUGACACGCUUCCACGACAUGACCUGGCCCAUGGGCUUAUCACGAUGUGGUCUAUUUGGUCGUCUAGGAGGAAAUCCAUCCAUAACAAUGAGUUUCAGAGCCCCUUAUCUAUGAUGUGUUUCAUCAAUCGCUACCUGCAGAACUUGGAGAUCACUACCGCUUCAUUACCGAGAGCUACUGCACGUGCGCUGCAGCGUCAGUGGCAACGGGGGUGGCUUCCCCCGGUAGAAAUAGAGGUUAAAAUAAACGUGGAUGCGGUUUUAUCCCGACAUGGAAACAAAGGUGCAACAUCAUCUAUUUGCAGAGACAGUAAUUGUCGCGGAUAUACCCCGCGGUAUGACCCGACCGGUGAUAUGACCCGGCUGGGACUUGGCAUUUCAUCGGUAACCCGCCGGAACACUUGCGACUCAUUGAUGAAUCGGCCGGGCCUGGCAAUUCAUUAA
rnacentral:rRNA from 1 species